ensembl:lncRNA novel transcript
GAGGUGCUCUGAGACCCGAAACUAGACUCGACUUUAACAGACACAGACGACCCUGAAGGCGAGACUGUCUGCUGGUGGGAUGCUGGAUGGAAACGUUUUCUUCCAAAUUGUGCUGCACGUUUUUGGCGAGAGCAUGGGGCUGUGCGGCGUCCCCUCCCUGGCGCCCACCUGUGCCCUGCACACUGGCCUGCACUGUGGUGAUCUCGCUUGGCCCCCACCUGAUUCCCGACAUACAGCAGAGGAACCUUAGGCUCAGGUGGAACAGCCUCAACUGAUUCUGUCCCUGAACUUCCGUACACAGCCCUGGAGUCGUCUUAGAGCCAUGAUUUAUUUAACUGUUCUUUCAUUUUACAGAACAUAAAAUGUAUUGUUUCCAACUUUUUUCCUAUGGUAAAUAAUACUAAAGUAAAUAUCUCUGUGCAUGAA